rnacentral:piRNA from 1 species
UGCAAUACACAGAUCAACCUGUCUAGGUUU